GACCGCGCACGGGUGAGUAACGCGUAUCCAACCUGCCCUUUACUAUGGGACAGCCCGUCGAAAGGCGGAUUAAUACCGUAUGUUGUCAUGUUGAUGCAUAUUUUCAUGACCAAAGGCUUCGGCCGGUAAAGGAUGGGGAUGCGUCUGAUUAGCUUGCCGGCGGGGUAACGGCCCACCGGGGCGACGAUCAGUAGGGGUUCUGAGAGGAAGGUCCCCCACAUUGGAACUGAGACACGGUCCAAACUCCUACGGAAGGCAGCAG
rnacentral:rRNA from 1 species